AUUGAACGCUGGCGGCAGGCCUAACACAUGCAAGUCGAGCGGAUGAAGGGAGCUUGCUCCUGGAUUCCGCGGCGGACGGGUGAGUAAUGCCUAUGAAUCUGCCUCGUAUUGGUGUAUAACGUCCUGAAACGGGCGCUAAUACCGCAUACUUCCUGCGCGUGCAAGUUGGUGGUCUUCGGACCUCACGCUCUCAGAUGAGCCUAGGUCGGAGUAGCUAGUUGGUGGGGUAAAGGCCUACCAAGGGGACGAUCCGUAACUGGUCUGAGAGGAUGAUCAGUCACACUGGAACUGAGACACGGACCAGACUACUAAGGGAGGCAGCAGUGGGGAAUAUUGGACAAAGGGCGAAAGUAUGAUACAGCCAUGCCACGUGUGUGAAGAAGGUCUUCGGAUUGGAAAGAACGUUAAGGGGGGAGGAAGGGCAGUAAGUUAAUACCUAGCUGUUUUGACGUUAACAACAGAAUAAGCACCGGCUAACUUCGUG
rnacentral:rRNA from 1 species